AAAUAUUACAUCGGGCAAAUUCAUCGUGGACACCAAAAAAAAUACUACGAGGUCGGCUCAUCCCCAACAAAUAUCGAUUUCUUGUCCGCCAUCUCCAGAUCAAGAUAAAUUUGUUUUUUUGAAAUAUGCACUGAGGGAUGGAAAAACUCCACCUAUUGCAAGGCAUCCUCAAAAUAAACAUGCAGAACAAAGAAAUUGUCUUCACUAACUUUGCA
rnacentral:lncRNA from 1 species